UUGGAUUCCCAAAAUGUGCUUAUUCCUGCAUACAUUUAAUAGUAUCUUAACUCUUCUUUUCAUUCAUGUUAAUUAAUGAAAAUUCUAGAUAAAAUAAGACUUAGGUAUGUCUGUAAUAAAGCACCAACAAAGAGUUUAACUUGUGAAGUAUCAUAUUGGCUUUACAGCUCUAAAUAAAUAGAGCAGUAAUAUAGAUGUGUAAGCUAGAAAGCAAGCAACAAGCACCUGCCACUAGUUAAAAGGGUACAUCUGAUUUCUUGAUUAGCUCCUCCUAUGGCAUUGGAAUACAGCUGUAAGUUUCGAAGUUU